AAACCAACAGGGAUUGCCCUAGUAACGGCGAGUGAAGCGGCAACAGCUCAAAUUUGAAAUCUGGCUCUCUUUGGGGGUCCGAGUUGUAAUUUGCAGAGGAUGCUUUGGCAUUGGCGGCGGUCUAAGUUCCUUGGAACAGGACAUCGCAGAGGGUGAGAAUCCCGUACGUGGGCGCCUGCCUUUGCCGUGUAAAGCUCCUUCGACGAGUCGAGUUGUUUGGGAAUGCAGCUCUAAAUGGGAGGUAAAUUUCUUCUAAAGCUAAAUACCGGCCAGAGACCGAUAGCGCACAAGUAGAGUGAUCGAAAGAUGAAAAGUACUUUGGAAAGAGAGUCAAAAAGCACGUGAAAUUGUUGAAAGGGAAGCGCUUGCAGCCAGACUUGCCCGCAGUUGCUCACCUAGGCUUUGGCCUGGGGCACUCUUCUGCGGGCAGGCCAGCAUCAGUUUGGGCGGUCGGACAAAGGCCUCUGUCAAGUAUCUCCCUUCGGGGUGACCUUAUAGGGGAGGCGUAAUGCGACCAGCCCGGACUGAGGUCCGCGC
rnacentral:rRNA from 1 species